rnacentral:rRNA from 1 species
GACGAACGCUGGCGGCGUGCCUAAUACAUGCAAGUAGAACGCUGAAGGAGGAGCUUGCUCUUCUGGAUGAGUUGCGAACGGGUGAGUAACGCGUAGGUAACCUGCCUGGUAGCGGGGGAUAACUAUUGGAAACGAUAGCUAAUACCGCAUAAGAGUAGAUGUUGCAUGACAUUUACUUAAAAGGUGCAAUUGCAUCACUACCAGAUGGACCUGCGUUGUAUUAGCUAGUUGGUGGGGUAACGGCUUACCAAGGCGACGAUACAUAGCCGACCUGAGAGGGUGAUCGGCCACACUGGGACUGAGACACGGCCCAGACUCCUACGGGAGGCAGCAGUAGGGAAUCUUCGGCAAUGGACGGAAGUCUGACCGAGCAACGCCGCGGGAGUGAAGAAGGGUUUCGGAUCGUAAAGCUCGGUUGUAAGAGAAGAACGAGUGUGAGAGUGGAAAGUUCACACUGUGACGGUAUCUUACCAGAAAGGGACGGCUAACUACGUG